CCCAUUAAAAUGCAUUUUUGACUGUAUCUUCCAUAAUAAUUUGCCUUGUCAUUGUCCCCAAUGAUAACUCACUUAAAUGUGCAAACAGGGUACAUUGAACAUUACAGAACAUUACAUACUGAUUUCAUGUUCCCAGCUCUCUGUAAUUUGUGUGUUUGCUGUUAUUGUAACAGCACAAGCGAGGAGAAUGGGAGACAAAUUGAUUCUCACGCUGCUUUCCUCUGCAGAAAAGACUCGAGAAGCUGCUGUACAGCGACCGCUUCUUCAGGGACGACUUCGCCGUUGUUCUCCAGCCCUUUCUGAAGCACGCUGACCCGCCCCGCCUCCCGGUAAUCCAUCUCACGCCUAUCAGUGUGACAUAAGUGUCUGCUUUCGGACCAGUUGGUGCAAAACAUCACGCGGUGAUGACUGACUCAUCAGGAUCCCCAGUGUGACAGCUGUAGCCUUUUGGCUGAGAGACUCACGAAUCAUGUUUCACCAACAAUGCUGUCCAUCACUAGAACUAUACCGCAGUGUAUUUUGUGUCUCUCUGAGCAGAACGGGAAGAUCGAUAUGACUUUCUUCACUCACGACUGCUUCCACUUUACCAUAAAGGGACAUGAGGAGCUGGCCAAGGGACUGUGGAACAACAUGUUUCAGCCUGAGGGAGGAAAGACGAUUGUGAGCAGCUUCUCUGACCCCAUCGCUCUCAUCUGCCCGCCUAUGGUAAGAUUAGCUUUCCAUAUUUGACAACUUUGUUUGCCUGAUUGGUGUAAAGAAUUGAAUAUUAACUAAACGUGUCUCCAGUGAAAUUAGGUUUCAGAAAGUGUUUUAAAGUGUUUGUUGAAAAGUCUGUUGAUUCAAGGAAGCUCAGCGCUCUGGAACUUGUUUUUUUUCUUCAUUUGUUAUGAUUCCUGUGCUUUAGAUGCUUCUCAAAACACUCUGUAACUGCUUUAUCAUGCUGCUGUGCAUGUAAAUGACACUGCAUUAAAAUAAAUGAGUGCUUGGUGAAAUAAAAAUACAUUUUAGUUCACCAGCAACUCAGAGCUGUUUGAAAGACUGGGAAAGAGGCUACAGUGUGUCAUGCUUCUCAAAACGCUCUGCAGUACUGCAUUUUCUGUGUUGUGAUAAAUCUUAAUUUAUUAUCUGAUUUUUACAGUUAUUAUAUUACAUAUCAUAUACGUAGGAACACCCAUAUAUCUUCACUCGACCGAUUGCAGCCAAGUCAGACCAACCUCCCCUCCAGACUGAUGCUCCAUCACCAGCAGUCAUCUUCCUGCUGCUCCUCCUGGCACAGCUUGGAGUUAUGUAGCUUUUAAUUCCUGUCCCCGAGGCAAAACACACAGUGGGCAAAAGGAGUUUUUUAGCCAUUCACCAGCAUGGAGGAAAUGACUGCAAACUGACAGAUUUGACAACAAACAAUCAUUGCAAUCAUGCAACAGAAAUAUUUAAAUCUCAGAGGAUGUUGGAGAUGGACGAGAUGAGGAUAGGGGAGCUUCAGAUGGUUGGGGGUUGUCUCUAUAAUAUUGCCAGAUUUUUACUAAAUAAAGUGCCUGGAGAUGACUGGUGUUGUGAACUGUGCUUCAAAGUGAACUGAACUGAAAAAUGUGACUUUCUAAUAGACCGUUUUACAGUUUUAAAUUGAGAUUUAAUUAACUUUUCCUAAAGACGAUAUACCAGUUAGACCGCAUACGUGGUAGUGGGACGUUUCUGUUUCUCCCCCAUUUGGGGAGCAGACUUAGAGCAUAUAUGUAUUUUUAAUAAAAAGUUUGCUUUGUACAAAUUGCAAAUGUUGUAAUUAACAAAGCACGACGACCUACUUUUGGUUCAAAACCACUUUUGUUUGCUUGUUUGUUUUUGCACGCUUACUCACGCAGAGGGACCCUGGCAAUGUGCCUGGAUCAGCUCAGUAAAAAAAAGAAAAAAAAUAUGAUUUAAACAUGAAAAUUUGUCAUUCAUAUCAUCUGCUGUAGAUUUCCCCAGACAGCUCUGACUUCUCAAACGGGGGAAGAUUUAGUCACACGUCUGCUCCUCAGAUCUCCAGGCAGCUGCUGGCCCACUUUCACUGCUCCAUCCUCUGGUACCUGAGUUAUUAUUAUUAUUAUUCACUAAAAGAGGGAAAGCAAACCAUCACAGUCAUUGCACUGAACAAAAAAAACACUAAGUGUUGCUCAUGCUGCUGGGUGCUGAGCAGUGGAGUCAUUAUCUUUUACCCGCAAAAUGUCAGCGCUCGGCGUCAGUAGCCGAGGUGUAAUCAUCCAGUGCAGAUGGCUGUAUUGUACUCUCUAGUUAAACAGAGCCUACAAUACAGAAUUCACCGACUCUAUUGAAUCAAUGUGAUUACAAAGGCAGGUGGAAGCUAUAUUAAGGCAAUCUCAGGUUACUUUAAUGUGCUCAGAAAUAGCAAUUUAUCUCCAGAAUGGAAAGGAAAACCAUAUGAUAUGUACUCAGUUUGGUGGAGCUGGGUUGUAUUAGUAUAUCAUGUGUCAUAUAUGUAGGAACAGCCAUAUUUGCAUGGGGAAAGCCUCCCUUUUCUAAUGUUUUCUUAUAAUAAAAAGCAUAACACUUGAAUUUAGAAAGGUAAUUAUUUGUAAUCACCCAACUUUUUUCCCCCCAAACUCUUUCAAAUAUAUUUGCUUAGUGCCAGUUUACUUUGUUGCUUCUUGGAUGCUUCUCUUUGAUGAAUUUCAAUCAGUGCUUGUAGCUUUCAGAUUUCAUUAUAGCCCUUUUAUUGUAUUCAAAGGAAACCGUCUUCAUGUUUAAACAAAGCCGGCGGCACUUUAUGCGGGACAAAUAUGGAUCCUCUGGUCUGGCUCUGACGCAGAUUGGCCUUUAUUGUUUCUCUGAAUGCAUAAUGAGAUCUUUGGGAUGUCAGUGAAUGGUGCAGCAGCACAAUGUGAAACUGCAAACAGUCCAAACGCCCCCUCCCGCUUUAGAAACCUCUGCUCUGUUUGUUUUUUAAUGAACAUGUCAGUAACACGAAAGAAAAUGACCUCAUGAGGACAUGUACAUUCAGAAGUUUUAGAAUUUUCCAGUGUGCAUGUCUGCUCCUUAUAAAUGGAGACAAAAUGAGAAAAGCUGGUACUGUUUCUGCAGUUUUAAUGCAUCAUCAUUUAAUGUCGGAUCUCAGGAGGCUCAGGGAAAAGGUCUUAUUAAAAUUCAAAGGGAGAAAAAAAACAAUAAUAAAGCUUCACUUGGUGCAGGGUUGCCAAUUCUGACGCUUCUGAUGUGACACGACCGCUGGUCAGGAGGUGAAUCAGACGCAGAUCACACACCCACUGCCUCCAACAUCACAAAAAACCCCAAC
ensembl:lncRNA